rnacentral:lncRNA from 1 species
UGCCUUUGUUUAUGGUUGUGGUAUUGGUGGCACGAGCCGUAUACGCAUUGAAGGAUACGUCGGCUUCUUUCAGCUGCCAUGCCUUAACCACAGUUUCUUCUUCAAUAGCGUAUGUCCUCGCAGACCUGUAGAAUUUGUUGUGAUGUGGCCUUGGAAAGAACUUGUGGAGGUGCCGCUUUAGCCGUACAACGAGGAGCUGGAUCCAAGUCGUCCGCCGGACUACCAUCGGUGGAUAUACGGCCCUCAUUAGACACCGCCGCAGAACUUGGUCAAAAAGCGGCUGUAUACGUAGAGAAUAAGAUCCAGCACCUUAUUUCUACUGUAGAGCAAUUUAUGAAAAUGAAGAAUAUAAUUAUUGCGUGAAA